AAUAGGAAUGGCCCCUCCCCCACCCAGAAGCACGCCAGGCUGCCGACCACUACGGCAGCCCUCGGCGCCUCAGUUUCCCGCUCCGAGCCUGCAAGUCGGCUCUGGGGACGUCCGGAGGGCCCAGCCACAAGAGAAGCCUCGACGACUCGGCUCCUCACUCCACUCCUGCAUGGGCGAUUCGUCUUGCUCCCAACCUCAGAGCCCACCUCCCCAUUCUCCAUGCGAAGGCCUUGGAGCCUUCCCCAACUACUCCAACCUAUUUCCUCAAGGCAGCAAGACCCUGACCGCCUCACCGCGGGUCCUCGAACUCAACGAAGGCGAAGGGCGGUCCUCCGCGGCGGUUCUUCAGAUCGAUGUCGCGGAUAGCACCGUAUUUGUAGAACACGUCCUCAAUGUCCUUGGUUCGGAUGUCUGGAGAGCCAAGCCGUGACUUUGUCUUUCCGCUCCGUCUCCUGCGAACUGGCCGUGGGCUGCUUACCCUAUCGCUAGGCCCAACGCAGCGGAAAGGUCCAGUGAAGGUUGCAGAAUGAACUGUGCCUGUUAUUUCUCCAGCUGCUUUCAAAGAACGAGAAAAAGCGCUCCUGCCUCUGUGUAUUGCAGAAUCCUGAAUUUCCUUCCUUUUUUUGAAGUCAUUACCAGGCUUCUCAAGUAAUAUGAAUGAGCACAAUGAAUGUGUGAGUACUACUGGGACCACUGGAGACCACAGUUGCUGCUCAGGACUGAUCCUGGUAGCAUGCUGGUCCAGGGAGCUCAGGAGUCCCCAACCCCUGCGCCGAGGACCGAUACUGUUCGUGACCAGGCCGCACAGCAGGAGAUGAACGGCAGGCGAGUGAGCAAAGCUUCAUCUGCCGCUUCCCACCGCUCCCCAUUGCUCGCAUUACCGCCUGAACCUUCCCACCCGACCCCCCAUCCGCGGAAAAAUUGUCUCCCACGAAACUGGUCCCUGGUGCCAAAAAGUUUUUCCACAGACAAAAGGCAGGCUGGGACUUCCUUGGUGGUGCAGUGGUUAAGAAUCUGCCUGCCCCUGCAGGGGACACAGGUUUGAGCCCAGGUCCGGGAAGGUCCCACAUGCCGCAGAGCAACUAAGUCCGUGCGUGACAACUACUGAGCCUGUACUCUAGAGCCCAUGACCCACAACUACUGAGCCCACGUGCCACAACUACUGAAGUCCGCGCACCUAUAGCCUGUGCUCUGCAGCAGGAGAAGCCACCGCAAUGAGAAACCUGUGCACUGCAAUGAAGAGUAGCCCCGCUCACCGCAAGUAGAGAAAGCCCGCGCACAGCAACGAAGACCCAACGCAGCCAAUAAAUAAAUAAAUAAAUAUUUUUUUAAAAGGCAGGCUAAGGACAUGGGUGCGGGGGGGGGGCAAGGACCAUAGGGUCCUGGUCUAUUUCACUAUGACAAGGUCAGGGUGUAGCAAGAAAAGUCUGGAUGGCUGUUUAUCAAGGUCUCCUUGGGUGAUAUUAGCUUGGAAAUUAUUACAUUUAAGGGUAUGAUCUUAUACUAUCAGUGUCCCAGAGUAGAUUGGCAUGUUUUAGUACACAAGAGUGAAAAACAAGAAAGCGAAUAAACCAAACCAUUUGUUCAUUUGUUGGGGGGUGAAACAGAUUCAUUUUUGAUAACCGUGAUGUUCAAAUUGUACACACCAAGAAAACUUUUUGUCAGGUCUGGAAAGCAAAUCAGACAGUUUCUUAGUAAAUAAGGAAUCAAAACAAAAUGAGGUGAAUCGCUUUGAGAGAUGUCUCAUUCAGAUCCUGGUGAAACCUGAUAAAUGAUCUCUGCCCCACAGCAGAGUGUACCUCUUCAAAGACAGGAAGAUUCAUACCCUCUGGACUUUGCAUCUCUGUUCCCCGAAUAGUGCUGGGUAAAGAUUGGCAAUUCUCUGUCUGUAGGCUAAUCUUCAUGCAAAAUUUUCUCUGAACAGUGUACUAUACAAUUAAUUAGAUCUUUGCUGACCAGAUUACAGCCGCUUCGUUUUGCCUCCUGAGAUUACCUCCUCAUCUUAAUUAGGGCUUUAGAGUGUUUCUAAACUCCUCAGUUACACAGUCACGGACAGUUUUAUGGAUUGCUCUCACAAUUCAUUAAGUAUGGAUUUUACCAGUUUAAUUCUUAGAAGCUGCCUAUUUCAAUACUUUUGCUGUGUAUGUAAAGUUACUUCCGCAAAAAGAAACUUUAAAUGCUUUCGAUUCAAUCCUGUAAGUAUAAACUAGUGUAAGCACUAUACUGUACCCUGGAAAUAAUUACUUCGGGAAAAAAGGAAAUUCAAAGAGUUAGUUACCGUAAGGGUUGAAAUCACAAGACUCAGUUUUUCAGUUAUUUUCCUAACACUUAAAAUCUACCUGUGGUGAUGGUUACACAAAUCUGUAAAUAUACCAAAAACCAUUGAAUUGUACAAGUAAAGCAAGUGAAUUGUAUGGUAUAUAAAUUAUAACUCAAUAAAAAAAAUUUUAAAUGACUGGGGAAAAAAAUAUCUCCACAAUCAGCAAAAUCACUCUCCAGUACCAUUCCUCUAAAGGUGUUAUUAAGGCUUGGAGGUGUUCUAGAGUAAUUUGCACUGAAAUAUGCCUUCCCUAAUCUGGAAAUUCUGUUUUCAGUAUUUGUGUAUCAAUCCUUACUGUCAUUUAUGGGGAUAACUGUUAGCUUUACUAGGUGAAGAGACACAAAGAUUAGGAGUACUUAAUUCCGCCGUGAAUAGCAGUUACUUCCAGAAAGAGUUCACUUGCAUAGUUCUCUAUUCCCUUGUUCCACCUGUUUAGUGAUUAGUAUUCUCUGAGAAAGGAAGAAAUAUUAAUGGUAUAUCUUUUUAUUUCAUUUAUAUUUGUCUCAUCUUCCCUAGUAAACUAGGUUGAGGACAGAUUUUUGCUGUAAUUCCCUUUAUUACGAGUACAUUUUCUGUUAAAAUGAAUAUUAUUGACUAUUUCCUGACUGCUCUUUGAAAAUAAUGGGACUUUAGAUGAGCAGAAUGUUGUUUCUAUGGAAACUGUAUCAUGUUUCUGUCAGUGGAUAGACACAAUGGGUACAAGGAUUGUUUUUCAUUUCACAGUGUAAUAAUGAUAGCCACUUUUCAAGCCCAAGUAAAUCAUCUAAUAAUAUAGUCUUGGUAAUCUUAUUUUAGGACUGGCCUCCCUCAUUCUUUGAUUCUUCUUGUUUUGUUUUUGGCUAAUUCUGGCCAUCUUUACUGUCCUAUUACGGAUAACAAUAACAUGAUUUUGCCAGAAAACAGCUCUCAAAAUGAUCUAUUACAAAGAGAUAUACUUCUUCCAUGUCUCCCUCUUCCUAUUGAUAUUAUUACUCCCUCUCUCCCUCUUCUUGCUUAAUUUAAGUUCUUUCUCUUAAAAAUUAAAACACCAAAUCAUAUUGUACAUUUCUUAAUUGGAGUAAAUGGCUGUUUAAAGAAUUAUAAUAAAAAUAUGGCAGAUAUCCUUUAUUUGCUAACAAUGCUAUCUUUUUUGGCAAUUUUAUCUUAUACUAUGAGCCCUAUAUAAGUGUUAGCUAUUAUUAUUAUUAGUAGUAAUGGUAUUAUAUGUUAAUGUGUCUGUCA